CUCUCGGUAGCCAAGUUGGU
rnacentral:tRNA from 1 species